rnacentral:rRNA from 1 species
UAACAAUGAUUCCCCCAGUAACUGCGAGUGAAGAGGGAAAAGCUCAAAUUUUAAAUCUGUAGGUUUCUGACCGAGUUGUAAUUUGAAGAGCGUUUCUGUGUUCUGUAGUCCAAGUCCUUUGGGAUAGGGCAUCAUGGAGGGUGAGAAUCCCGUUCGGUUGAUCAGACACUUUACGAUACGUCACAAAGAGUCAAGUUGUUUGGGAUUGCAGCUUAAAUGGGAGGUAAAUUUCUCCUAAGGCUAAUAACGGUGAGAGACCGAUAGCGAACAAGUACCGUGAGGGAAAGAUGAAAGAACUUUGAAAGGGAGUUAAACAGUACGUGAAAUUGUUGAAAGGGAAACGAUUGAAG